rnacentral:rRNA from 1 species
AGAACGAACGCUGGCGGCAUGCCUAAUACAUGCAAGUCGAACGAACUCUUCGGAGUUAGUGGCGCACGGGUGCGUAACGCGUGGGAAUCUGCCCUUGGGUUCGGAAUAACAGUUGGAAACGACUGCUAAUACCGGAUGAUGACGAAAGUCCAAAGAUUUAUCGCCCAGGGAUGAGCCCGCGUAGGAUUAGCUAGUUGGUGAGGUAAAGGCUCACCAAGGCGACGAUCCUUAGCUGGUCUGAGAGGAUGAUCAGCCACACUGGGACUGAGACACGGCCCAGACUCCUACGGGAGGCAGCAGUAGGGAAUAUUGGACAAUGGGCGAAAGCCUGAUCCAGCAAUGCCGCGUGAGUGAUGAAGGCCUUAGGGUUGUAAAGUCUCUUUUACCCGAGAUGAUAAUGACAGUAUCGGAAGAAUAAGCCCGGCUAACCUCGCGCCAGCAGCCGC